rnacentral:rRNA from 1 species
GGUUAAGCGACUAAGCGUACACGGUGGAUGCCCUGGCAGUCAGAGGCGAUGAAGGACGUGCUAAUCUGCGAUAAGCGUCGGUAAGGUGAUAUGAACCGUUAUAACCGGCGAUUUCCGAAUGGGGAAACCCAGUGUGAUUCGUCACACUAUCAUUAACUGAAUCCAUAGGUUAAUGAGGCGAACCGGGGGAACUGAAACAUCUAAGUACCCCGAGGAAAAGAAAUCAACCGAGAUUCCCCCAGUAGCGGCGAGCGAACGGGGAGCAGCCCAGAGCCUGAAUCAGUGUGUGUGUUAGUGGAAGCGUCUGGAAAGGCGCGCGAUACAGGGUGACAGCCCCGUACACAAAAAUGCACAUACUGUGAGCUCGAUGAGUAGGGCGGGACACGUGGUAUCCUGUCUGAAUAUGGGGGGACCAUCCUCCAAGGCUAAAUACUCCUGACUGACCGAUAGUGAACCAGUACCGUGAGGGAAAGGCGAAAAGAACCCCGGCGAGGGGAGUGAAAAAGAACCUGAAACCGUGUACGUACAAGCAGUGGGAGCACGCUUAGGCGUGUGACUGCGUACCUUUUGUAUAAUGGGUCAGCGACUUAUAUUCUGUAGCAAGGUUAACCGAAUAGGGGAGCCGAAGGGAAACCGAGUCUUAACUGGGCGUUAAGUUGCAGGGUAUAGACCCGAAACCCGGUGAUCUAGCCAUGGGCAGGUUGAAGGUUGGGUAACACUAACUGGAGGACCGAACCGACUAAUGUUGAAAAAUUAGCGGAUGACUUGUGGCUGGGGGUGAAAGGCCAAUCAAACCGGGAGAUAGCUGGUUCUCCCCGAAAGCUAUUUAGGUAGCGCCUCGUGAAUUCAUCUCCGGGGGUAGAGCACUGUUUCGGCAAGGGGGUCAUCCCGACUUACCAACCCGAUGCAAACUGCGAAUACCGGAGAAUGUUAUCACGGGAGACACACGGCGGGUGCUAACGUCCGUCGUGAAGAGGGAAACAACCCAGACCGCCAGCUAAGGUCCCAAAGUCAUGGUUAAGUGGGAAACGAUGUGGGAAGGCCCAGACAGCCAGGAUGUUGGCUUAGAAGCAGCCAUCAUUUAAAGAAAGCGUAAUAGCUCACUGGUCGAGUCGGCCUGCGCGGAAGAUGUAACGGGGCUAAACCAUGCACCGAAGCUGCGGCAGCGACGCUUAUGCGUUGUUGGGUAGGGGAGCGUUCUGUAAGCCUGCGAAGGUGUGCUGUGAGGCAUGCUGGAGGUAUCAGAAGUGCGAAUGCUGACAUAAGUAACGAUAAAGCGGGUGAAAAGCCCGCUCGCCGGAAGACCAAGGGUUCCUGUCCAACGUUAAUCGGGGCAGGGUGAGUCGACCCCUAAGGCGAGGCCGAAAGGCGUAGUCGAUGGGAAACAGGUUAAUAUUCCUGUACUUGGUGUUACUGCGAAGGGGGGACGGAGAAGGCUAUGUUGGCCGGGCGACGGUUGUCCCGGUUUAAGCGUGUAGGCUGGUUUUCCAGGCAAAUCCGGAAAAUCAAGGCUGAGGCGUGAUGACGAGGCACUACGGUGCUGAAGCAACAAAUGCCCUGCUUCCAGGAAAAGCCUCUAAGCAUCAGGUAACAUCAAAUCGUACCCCAAACCGACACAGGUGGUCAGGUAGAGAAUACCAAGGCGCUUGAGAGAACUCGGGUGAAGGAACUAGGCAAAAUGGUGCCGUAACUUCGGGAGAAGGCACGCUGAUAUGUAGGUGAAGUCCCUCGCGGAUGGAGCUGAAAUCAGUCGAAGAUACCAGCUGGCUGCAACUGUUUAUUAAAAACACAGCACUGUGCAAACACGAAAGUGGACGUAUACGGUGUGACGCCUGCCCGGUGCCGGAAGGUUAAUUGAUGGGGUUAGCGCAAGCGAAGCUCUUGAUCGAAGCCCCGGUAAACGGCGGCCGUAACUAUAACGGUCCUAAGGUAGCGAAAUUCCUUGUCGGGUAAGUUCCGACCUGCACGAAUGGCGUAAUGAUGGCCAGGCUGUCUCCACCCGAGACUCAGUGAAAUUGAACUCGCUGUGAAGAUGCAGUGUACCCGCGGCAAGACGGAAAGACCCCGUGAACCUUUACUAUAGCUUGACACUGAACAUUGAGCCUUGAUGUGUAGGAUAGGUGGGAGGCUUUGAAGUGUGGACGCCAGUCUGCAUGGAGCCGACCUUGAAAUACCACCCUUUAAUGUUUGAUGUUCUAACGUUGACCCGUAAUCCGGGUUGCGGACAGUGUCUGGUGGGUAGUUUGACUGGGGCGGUCUCCUCCUAAAGAGUAACGGAGGAGCACGAAGGUUGGCUAAUCCUGGUCGGACAUCAGGAGGUUAGUGCAAUGGCAUAAGCCAGCUUGACUGCGAGCGUGACGGCGCGAGCAGGUGCGAAAGCAGGUCAUAGUGAUCCGGUGGUUCUGAAUGGAAGGGCCAUCGCUCAACGGAUAAAAGGUACUCCGGGGAUAACAGGCUGAUACCGCCCAAGAGUUCAUAUCGACGGCGGUGUUUGGCACCUCGAUGUCGGCUCAUCACAUCCUGGGGCUGAAGUAGGUCCCAAGGGUAUGGCUGUUCGCCAUUUAAAGUGGUACGCGAGCUGGGUUUAGAACGUCGUGAGACAGUUCGGUCCCUAUCUGCCGUGGGCGCUGGAGAACUGAGGGGGGCUGCUCCUAGUACGAGAGGACCGGAGUGGACGCAUCACUGGUGUUCGGGUUGUCAUGCCAAUGGCACUGCCCGGUAGCUAAAUGCGGAAGAGAUAAGUGCUGAAAGCAUCUAAGCACGAAACUUGCCCCGAGAUGAGUUCUCCCUGACUCCUUGAGAGUCCUGAAGGAACGUUGAAGACGACGACGUUGAUAGGCCGGGUGUGUAAGCGCAGCGAUGCGUUGAGCUAACCGGUACUAAUGAACCGUGAGGCUUAACCUU